rnacentral:lncRNA from 1 species
UUGUUAGGUUUUUGUGUUCUUCUCCGUGAUGUCUUGGCGAUGGAGAUGUCAUCGUCUAGAAAAUUGCUGUCCUGGCUCCUUUAUCGUUCUGGUGUAGGCGUUGCAACCUAGUGGUUCUAAAGACACGUCUCUCCUUGUUUUUGUUCUUUUUUCUUAUUGAUUUAUCGACGGAGAAACAGUUUUACACCUUGUCUUGCAAGAGGUAUGAUUCCGGCCAUGAUGUGUUCAAUGAUUUUAUGUUCUCACUGUUUGAGGUGGGCGGCUCAUACGGCUUUUCAAAAUCUCUAUGGUUAGUUUAGCUUGUGCAAGCAUGGUAUUCUGCAAUUUUGUAACGAAUACGUGG